CAGAGAAUGCUAUUCCGAAGGCCCAAGCCACCUCCAAAACCCGUAAAAAAUUCCAAGAAGACCAUACAAUCCAAUUAUUACAGAGGAAGAAAUAUUUGAAAUGGAAGUAAAGAAAACUAAUCUCUUGUUUGAGAUGAAAACAAUGGAAAUGAGAAGAGAGGAAGAGCUGAAGGAAAGAAUAAAGAAAUACAUGCUCAAUGGGAGAAGGAAACCUCCUCCAGAAUCC